CUUCCGCUCGUCCGCUUACUUUCAUCAAAUAAAGCGGCCUACAGAGCAAUCGAAGGAGAGCGACAUGUCCUUCGCCCUCGCCCUCCCCGGUACUACCACCCGCAUCCCCCUCUCCUUUUCCGCCUUCACAGCAGCGAGAAGCAGAAGAAGAAGAAGGGAUCUCUUCUCCUCUUCUUCCACCACAACCUUCGCCAUGUCCUCCAAUCCCAUCACUCCCUCGCCCCCCCAACUCCAGCACCAACACCAACACCAACAGGAGUCAUCGUCAUCGUCGUCGUCGUCUGCUGCUGCUGCUGCCGCUGUAGAUGCGGCGACGCGUUACCACAACAGGACGAAGCACUCGCUGACGGGGGGCUACGCCCGGGGCCCGCGCGGCCUGGACUGGGCCAAUCAGCCAAACCCCUUCCUCCGCUUCCUCUCCUCCCCUCUCCUUCCCCUCCUCCACUCUCCCCCUGAACCUCACGACGACUCCCCUCUCUACCACUCCGUCUUCUCCUCCUCCCUUCCUCCGCCGCAGCCCUUUUCCCACGCCUCCAUCUCCCGCCUCCUCUACGACUCCCUCUCCCUCUCCGCCUGGAAGUCCACCGGCCUCUCCACCUGGUCCCUCCGCGUCAACCCGUCCAGCGGCAACCUUCACCCCACCGAGUCCCACCUCCUUUCCCCACCUCUUCCCCUCUCGCAACAACAACCCUCCUCUCCUCCUCCUUUCUCUUCCUCUUCUUUCUUGGCCCAUUACUCACCCAAGGACCACUCCCUCGAGCUCCGCGCCUCGAUAUCCCCGCCGGACCUCCCCCUCCACCGAUCUCUGCUCCUCGCCUUCUCCUCCAUCCUCUGGCGGGAGGCCUGGAAGUACGGCGAGCGUGCCUUUCGAUACUGCAACCAUGACGUCGGCCACGCCCUCGCCGCCACCGCCGUCUCUGCCGCUACUCUCGGCUGGGACGUCUGCCUCCUCGAUGGCCUUGGCCACGACGACCUCCAUCGCCUCCUCGGCCUCGACCGCUCCAAUCCCCCGUCCCCCGACAGGCUCCCCGACCACCCUGUCCGUGGCCGCCUCCCAUGGGUCGAGUCUCAGCACCCCGACUGCGCCCUCUUGAUCUUCCCCUUCGGCGAGACUCCACCCUCGGUCGAUUAUGCCGAGCUUGCCUUGGCGUUAUCCCGCUUACCGGCGAUGGAGUGGCUCGGCAAGCCCAAUUCCCUCAGCAAGGACCAUGUCUGUUGGGACGUGAUCUACAAGACGGCCGAGGCCGUCAAGAAACCGCCGACGUACGGUGAGGGGUUCUCUGUGAAUCCAUUCCAUAGGAGUCCGCUUAUAUCACCUGAUCUCUACAAGGAUAUGACGGUCCGGCAGGUGGUCAGGAAGCGGCGUAGUGCUGUCGACAUGGAUGGCGUGCAUGUACUGGAGAAGGAUACCUUCUACCAGAUCUUGCUUCAUUGCCUUCCUUCCGGUGAAUUGGGGCUCGGAGAGAAGCAGGGGAAGCAAUUCACGUUGCCGUUCAGAGUCCUGACAUGGGACGCAGAGGUGCAUGCAGCACUGUUUGUUCAUAGGGUCCGGGACUUGCCAAAGGGGUUGUACUUCUUGGUGAGGAACGAGGAGCAUCUUGACCGUCUAAAGAGUGCAAUGAGGUCAGAGUUCGAGUGGGAGAGGCCGGAAGGUUGCCCUUCUGGGCUUCCUCUCUAUAGGCUUGCACGAGGAGACUGUCGGGAGCUUGCCAAACAACUUUCGUGCCAUCAGUGUAGGACAUUGCCUCAGAUGGGUGUUUUAGCCUAGGCAUGGUUGCUCGUUUUGAGCCAGUUCUGCAUGAAAAGGGUGCAUGGAUGUAUCCUCGUCUGUUCUGGGAGACUGGAGUUCUUGGUCAAGUACUAUACCUGGAAGCACAUGCAGUUGGGAUAUCGGCUACUGGAAUUGGUUGCUACUUUGAUGAUGAUGUUCAUGAGGUUCUUGGUCUGCAAGGGUUGGAGUUCCAGAGCCUUUACCACUUCACCAUUGGAAGCCCUGUGCUGGAUAAACGAAUUUUGAGUCUGCCAGCGUAUCCAGGCCCUGGAAUUGAUGCAUAGUCUACUUCAAUGAUACAUAAGGAUCAGCAAUUCACGGAGGAGUACUGGGAAAAUUAAGUCUUGCUUCCAUAUAUCCUCCUGUUCAGCAAUAAGUAGCACUUGAUGGGUCACAGACAUCUGUUGUUGUUUUCAUUCUCUAUGCAAGGGUUUUAUAAAAUAUGAAAAGAGGAUUCCUGUUCGUGGUAACCGGACAGUGGCAUUUUGAUUUAGAAGUUUUAAGCACACACCUGUAAAUUGUGAACCUGUCUAUAGAUUUUGCUGCCGUGUAAAUAACCAAGUGCAGUGGCAGCACAUUCUUCCAGAUGUGUGAGGAACUGAUAAGAGAGUAGUGAUUGAGAUGUGGCACAAAUGGUUAUAGUUAUACAAAGAUGUUAAAUUAUCUGGCAAACAAACAAGUGCACUGGAAA